rnacentral:rRNA from 1 species
ACGGUGAGCAGAGCUUGCUCUGUGGAUCAGUGGCGAACGGGUGAGUAACACGUGAGCAAUCUGCCCCUGACUCUGGGAUAAGCGCUGGAAACGGCGUCUAAUACCGGAUACGAGCUGCGACCGCAUGGUCAGUAGCUGGAAAGAAUUUCGGUCAGGGAUGAGCUCGCGGCCUAUCAGCUUGUUGGUGAGGUAAUGGCUCACCAAGGCGUCGACGGGUAGCCGGCCUGAGAGGGUGACCGGCCACACUGGGACUGAGACACGGCCCAGACUCCUACGGGAGGCAGCAGUGGGGAAUAUUGCACAAUGGGCGCAAGCCUGAUGCAGCAACGCCGCGUGAGGGAUGACGGCCUUCGGGUUGUAAACCUCUUUUAGCAGGGAAGAAGCGAAAGUGACGGUACCUGCAGAAAAAGCGCCGGCUAACUACGUGCCAGCAGCCGCGGUAAUACGUAGGGCGCAAGCGUUAUCCGGAAUUAUUGGGCGUAAAGAGCUCGUAGGCGGUCUGUCGCGUCUGCUGUGAAAACCCGAGGCUCAACCUCGGGCCUGCAGUGGGUACGGGCAGACUAGAGUGCGGUAGGGGAGAUUGGAAUUCCUGGUGUAGCGGUGGAAUGCGCAGAUAUCAGGAGGAACACCGAUGGCGAAGGCAGAUCUCUGGGCCGUAACUGACGCUGAGGAGCGAAAGGGUGGGGAGCAAACAGGCUUAGAUACCCUGGUAGUCCACCCCGUAAACGUUGGGAACUAGUUGUGGGGUCCAUUCCACGGAUUCCGUGACGCAGCUAACGCAUUAAGUUCCCCGCCUGGGGAGUACGGCCGCAAGGCUAAAACUCAAAGGAAUUGACGGGGACCCGCACAAGCGGCGGAGCAUGCGGAUUAAUUCGAUGCAACGCGAAGAACCUUACCAAGGCUUGACAUAUAGAGGAAACGUCUGGAAACAGUCGCCCCGCAAGGUCUCUAUACAGGUGGUGCAUGGUUGUCGUCAGCUCGUGUCGUGAGAUGUUGGGUUAAGUCCCGCAACGAGCGCAACCCUCGUUCUAUGUUGCCAGCACGUAAUGGUGGGAACUCAUGGGAUACUGCCGGGGUCAACUCGGAGGAAGGUGGGGAUGACGUCAAAUCAUCAUGCCCCUUAUGUCUUGGGCUUCACGCAUGCUACAAUGGCCGGUACAAAGGGCUGCAAUACCGUGAGGUGGAGCGAAUCCCAAAAAGCCGGUCCCAGUUCGGAUUGAGGUCUGCAACUCGACCUCAUGAAGUCG